UACGGAGGCUGCAAGCGUUAUCCGGAAUGAUUGGGCGUAAAGCGUCCGCAGGUGGCUAUGUAAGUCUGCUGUUAAAGAGUGAGGCUCAACCUCAUAAAAGCAGUGGAAACUACAUGGCUAGAGUGCGUUCGGGGCAGAGGGAAUUCCUGGUGUAGCGGUGAAAUGCGUAGAGAUCAGGAAGAACACCGGUGGCGAAAGCGCUCUGCUAGGCCGCAACUGACACUGAGGGACGAAAGCUAGGGGAGCGAAUGGG
rnacentral:rRNA from 1 species